GAACUCAUUCUUCUUUUCAUCUAAUAACAAAAAUAUCUUCUCCAAUAUUUCUCUCUCUAGAUUGAUCUCCAUUGAUGAACUUAUGGAAACAUUCAUGAAGCUCUUAGCCUAGAUUUCUACAAUAUCCUCAGAACUAACCUCCAGAAAUACAAUCAUAUUAUGGUCUGAUUCGGGUACAUCCAUUGAUCCUUUGGCUUCUGCACCUUUUCCUUGAAAUGAGUUGUAACAGCAACGGGAUCUGCACCAUUCAUGUCGUUGCUUGCUCCAUUGAAUUCUGGAGCACAAGAAUCAUUUUGGAGAGCUCCCGCCAGUGCUUCCUCUGUUGAAUUUGUCAUUUUCCUUGGCGAUUUAUCAGAUGUUUGUGGUGUUGUUCUUCUAGUUAGUCCUUAUGGCUACUCGAUGGCAGACGCUCCUGUUAUCCUAACAUUAACGUGAAGGCUGCAGCAGCGCUCAACCAUCCUCAGUUCGUCAAUUCAUUUGAAAUUUCAACAUCGCCAACGACAGUCGUCUGCUCAGUUCAUUUGCUCAGUUCAUCACUGCCGUCAGCAUUGCUGCCGAGUGCAGCCACUGCCGUCACGCCAACGGCGAUGACUCAGCAAGGUUCAGAUUUGGGCAAGCAGUAAAAUACACAAGGAAGAAAGAUCAUGUGUGGGGAAAUGGGAUAUGAGAUCUCUGAUCACCUCUUCCUCUGAGCUUUGUGGGCUAGAGAAGUCUUCUGAAGUGCCUAGACAUGUAAAAUAUUCUUUCCGUAAUCCUGUUCGAUGUCGCAUGAUUUGGAUAACGUUGCGUCUACAAAAAGUUGGCUCGAGUUCUGUAAAUUUUGAGAAAGACUUUAGUCGUUUGUCCUUAGAGGAGAACCCAUUUUCGGAGCCUGUGAGACGUGCUUCCUUUGGAGAACCAGUUGAAAGUGACCCAGGUCUUCAUGCUAUAAAAGAAUCUUGGUGGUUGGAAGCCCAUUGAGGAAAGAUGUAGGGGCACCAAGUCAAGGCUCUGACCAGAUAAAUACGAGCAAUUUGUUUGAUAAAGGUCCUCCACUAAACAGAUUUAAGGUUCCAAUUGAGGUUGAGAGACUAACUGACAACGACCUUGUUUUAGAACAGUUUCUACCCCCAGUUUCACCUAUGCUGGCAGGUUUUCAUCUUGACGGUUUUAGUGCAAUAAAACCUCGAGUCACCCAUUCACCCCACCACCUUCACUGAUGAAUCCAUGGGAUGUUUAUUCUUGUAUAUUGGAAGACAGAUUUGUUUGUCCAGCUGUAUUGUACAUUCAAGUGGCUGCUUUCCAGGAACCACACACUAUGGUCACCGUUGCAGAAUGCAGGUUGCCGGAAGUGAAGGUGGGGACAGCAAUGUACUUUGAUUUUCCUAACCAAAUUAGUACUCGUCGAAUGUCAUUUAGACUUCUUGGAGAUGUUGGUGCAUUUACUGAUGAUCCAUCAGAGAAGGAUGACUCGGAUGGUAGGGUCCGGAUCGUGGCAGCAGGACUCUCUUUGGCUAAUAGAAUCAAGUUGUAUUAUUAUGCUGAUCCCUAGGAGCUCGGAAAAUGGGCGAGUCUUUAAGCUGUUUGAUUAGGAUAAUCAAACCAAUUUACUGGUUAGUGGUUACAUCAUUAAUUUUGUAUUGUAGAAGUCUUUAUUCUUCUUGCUUUCAAAUGCUUCUUCAAAACAUUAGAUUCAUUUCAUGUUAAUAUGUAUAGGAGAGAGUUUAAGUUUCCAUUUCUGUAAAAUUCUGUAUAAUGUAUUGUGGCGGAAGUGUAACAUUUUGCAAUCCUAUAUAAUUUCGAGCUCG